AUUGAACGCUUGCGGCAGGCCUAACACAUGCAAGUCGAACGGUAACAGGAAACAGCUUGCUGUUUCGCUGACGAGUGGCGGACGGGUGAGUAAUGUCUGGGAAACUGCCUGAUGGAGGGGGAUAACUACUGGAAACGGUAGCUAAUACCGCAUAACGUCGCAAGACCAAAGAGGGGGACCUUCGGGCCUCUUGCCAUCGGAUGUGCCCAGAUGGGAUUAGCUAGUAGGUGGGGUAACGGCUCACCUAGGCGACGAUCCCUAGCUGGUCUGAGAGGAUGACCAGCCACACUGGAACUGAGACACGGUCCAGACUCCUACGGGAGGCAGCAGUGGGGAAUAUUGCACAAUGGGCGCAAGCCUGAUGCAGCCAUGCCGCGUGUAUGAAGAAGGCCUUCGGGUUGUAAAGUACUUUCAGCGGGGAGGAAGGGAGUAAAGUUAAUACCUUUGCUCAUUGACGUUACCCGCAGAAGAAGCACCGGCUAACUCCGUG
rnacentral:rRNA from 1 species